rnacentral:rRNA from 1 species
GACGAACGCUGGCGGCGUGCUUAACACAUGCAAGUCGAACGGAAAGGCCCUGCUUUUGUGGGGUGCUCGAGUGGCGAACGGGUGAGUAACACGUGAGUAACCUGCCCUUGACUUUGGGAUAACUUCAGGAAACUGGGGCUAAUACCGGAUAGGAGCUCCUGCUGCAUGGUGGGGGUUGGAAAGUUUCGGCGGUUGGGGAUGGACUCGCGGCUUAUCAGCUUGUUGGUGGGGUAGUGGCAUACCAAGGCUUUGACGGGUAGCCGGCCUGAGAGGGCGACCGGCCACAUUGGGACUGAGAUACGGCCCAGACUCCUACGGGAGGCAGCAGUGGGGAAUAUUGCACAAUGGGCGGAAGCCUGAUGCAGCAACGCCGCGUGCGGGAUGACGGCCUUCGGGUUGUAAACCGCUUUCGCCUGUGACGAAGCGUGAGUGACGGUAAUGGGUAAAGAAGCACCGGCUAACUACGUG